CUCCGGUUGAUCCUGCCGGACCCGACUGCUAUCAGAGUGGGACUAAGCCAUGCGAGUCAACAUAGCAAUAUGUGGCAUACGGCUCAGUAACACGUAGUCAACAUGCCCAGGGGACGUGGAUAACCUCGGGAAACUGAGGAUAAACCGCGAUAGGUCAUCACUUCUGGAAUGGGUAAUGACUUAAAUCUAUAUGGCCCCUGGAUUGGACUGCGGCCGAUCAGGCUGUUGGUGAGGUAAUGGCCCACCAAACCUGUAACCGGUACGGGCUCUGAGAGGAGGAGCCCGGAGAUGGGCACUGAGACAAGGGCCCAGGCCCUAUGGGGCGCAGCAGGCGCGAAACCUCUGCAAUAGGCGAAAGCUUGACAGGGUUACUCUGAGUGAUUUCCGUUAAGGAGAUCUUUUGGCACCUCUAAAAAUGGUGCAGAAUAAGGGGUGGGCAAGUCUGGUGUCAGCCGCCGCGGUAAUACCAGCACCCCGAGUGGUCGGGGCGUUUAUUGGGCCUAAAGCAUCCGUAGCCGGUUCUACAAGUCUUCCGUUAAAUCCACCUGCUUAACAGAUGGGCUGCGGAAGAUACUAUAGAGCUAGGAGGCGGGAGAGGCAAGCGGUACUCGAUGGGUAGGGGUAAAAUCCGUUGAUCCAUUGAAGACCACCAGUGGCGAAGGCGGCUUGCCAGAACGCGCUCGACGGUGAGGGAUGAAAGCUGGGGGAGCAAACCGGAUUAGAUACCCGGGUAGUCCCAGCUGUAAACGAUGCAGACUCGGUGAUGAGUUGGCUUCUUGCCAACUCAGUGCCGCAGGGAAGCCGUUAAGUUUGCCGCCUGGGGAGUACGGUCGCAAGACUGAAACUUAAAGGAAUUGGCGGGGGAGCA
rnacentral:rRNA from 1 species